rfam:TPA: Bos taurus chromosome 28, whole genome shotgun sequence.
UCCCUGAUGGUCCAGUGGCCAAGACUCCAUGCUCCCGGUGCAGGGGGCCUGGGUUCGAUCCCUGGUCAGGGAA